CUUUGAGGGUCGUAGGUUCAAGACUAGGUUGGAUUCAACAGAUCUGAGAAUCCAUGUCAUGACUUGGGCAUCCUUGACUUCCCAUUUGGCAUACAAAUCUGAGUCUUUGUCAGGAGUAGGUUUGCUGCCAUCAACAUGGCCUCAUAGAUCCUUACCUUUGACAAAAACUUUGAAGUGGAACUAACAGGCUGAGUAGUUUUUUCCAUUAAAACGAAUAAAAAAAGUAUCAGACUUGUCUGAAAAUAUGACACUAAGGAAACUAAUCUAAAAUAACCAAGAACGAAGAACUGAACAAGGGUUUUCAAAAUUGGGGCUCUGAUACGAUGACAAACUUAGAGACAC
rnacentral:lncRNA from 1 species